rnacentral:lncRNA from 1 species
GCAUUAAAAAGGCAGCACCCUGACAUCUAGCUUUGACAGCAUUUGUUAAACUUAGCUACUGUCCUCAAAAGUGAGGAUGCAAUUCAAUUCAGUCAGUGUAAGUAUACUAAUAGUAUUUUAAUAUGACUGUGUUCUGCUUAUAUUUGACUUUCUCUGAAGGAAAGAAUUGAAAUUACUAAAAAAAGACCAACCCACACAUUAAAAUGAGCUCUAGGUCUAAACAGACUUUUUAGCUCCAAUAGUUGCUCAGAGCUUCAGCUCACAGGAAGCAACAAUACAAACGUGUAAGGAUUUUUCUUUUAGACAGCUCACAGAACAUACAAGCUAAUUGAGUCUCUUACAUAUCUGCAUGCUUCAUCAGUCACCCAAAUUGCCUGAGUUCCUCCACUAAUAAAGCUUGUUUCAUACUUGCAGGUGGCUUCAGUAUGUUUUACAAGUUGAAUAUACUGCAUUUCCCCAGUUCUUUGUAAAGAAAUCAAAGCAAUAAAUUAACUGAGGGGGGAAAAAGGUAGAAGAAAACAGCCAGCUCUUCUGGCUUUUUUUUUUUCCCUCGUCCUCUUUCCAAAACUAAAGAAGGAACUAAAUUCUAACUGUAAAUCUUGUAAAUCAAACUGUCAGUCUUGUCUUUCCCCUUUCUGUCAUUUUCUCUACAGGAGCAUAUUUCUACUUCUAGCUGAAAUAAGUAUCUACCUAGAAGACCAACAAAGAGAGUUCCCUUAUGCUGGGACUUGCCUUUUUCAAGUUAUUCUGGUGCUACUGCUCUGUUCUUGAUGAGAUCACUAUCUGGAAACACUCUGUUCAUCUCCAGCAUGUGGAAAGUGCUGCUCCUGGGUCUGUACAUGGUAUUGGCUGUGAGAGGAUUGGCAAAGGGUGCUUCUUUCCAGCCAGAAGAUAAAUGGAAGCCUCUUGAUAACCCCAGAAACAGGGACCUGUUUUUCAGAACACUCCAGGCUUACUUCUCGGGCAGGGGUCUCGAUCUCAGAAAGUUCCCAGCUACUUUCACUGUGAACAAUGAAGGACCAAGGCUCUACUCAGAUCCUAUUCCUUCUGCAUUUGCAGAUUAUGAAGAAAAGAAAAAAUCCUUUCAGAACUACUUCAAAGACUGAAAGAUUCUGCUGAUGAAGGCAUUGACUUCAGAACUCCAUGCCAAAUGGAAACCUUCACAGCAAAAUUUUACUGCUUUGACUUUUUACCUGUUAGCUGACAAUUCCAAAGUCUCUUCACUGUCACCGUUUCUGCCGAUGGAAUGUGGUGUCCUGCUGCAAUGAGCAUUAUUCUGUCUAUUGACAAAUGCGUGCUCUUCAGCUACUGCAGUCUGUGAGCAGAAUUGUGCUUAAGCGUGAAUAAAUGAGGAGUGCAACAGCCA